GAUGAACGCUGGCGGCGUGCCUAAUACAUGCAAGUCGAGCGAACGGAUGAGAAGCUUGCUUCUCUGAUGUUAGCGGCGGACGGGUGAGUAACACGUGGAUAACCUACCUAUAAGACUGGGAUAACUUCGGGAAACCGGAGCUAAUACCGGAUAAUAUUUUGAACCGCUUGGUUCAAAAGUGAAAGACGGUCUUGCUGUCACUUAUAGAUGGAUCCGCGCUGCAUUAGCUAGUUGGUAAGGUAACGGCUUACCAAGGCAACGAUGCAUAGCCGACCUGAGAGGGUGAUCGGCCACACUGGAACUGAGACACGGUCCAGACUCCUACGGGAGGCAGCAGUAGGGAAUCUUCCGCAAUGGGCGAAAGCCUGACGGAGCAACGCCGCGUGAGUGAUGAAGGUCUUCGGAUCGUAAAACUCUGUUAUUAGGGAAGAACAUAUGUGUAAGUAACUGUGCACAUCUUGACGGUACCUAAUCAGAAAGCCACGGCUAACUACGUG
rnacentral:rRNA from 1 species